CCGAGUUAUACAACUCCUCAACCCUGUGAACAUACCUAUACGUUGCCUCGGCGGAAUCAGCCGCUCCCGUAAAACGGGACGCCCCGCCAGAGGACCCCCUAACUCUGUCUCUAAUGUGUACUUCUGAGUAAACAAGCCAUAAUAAAUCA
rnacentral:misc_RNA from 1 species